rnacentral:rRNA from 1 species
GUCCACGCCCUAAACGAUGUCUACUAGUUGUCGGGUCUUAAUUGACUUGGUAACGCAGCUAACGCGUGAAGUAGACCGCCUGGGGAGUACGGUCGCAAGACUAAAACUCAAAUGAAUUGACGGGGGCCCGCACAAGCGGUGGAGCAUGUGGUUUAAUUCGAUGCAACGCGAAGAACCUUACCUGGUCUUGACAUAGUAAGAACUUUCCAGAGAUGGAUUGGUGCCUUCGGGAACUUACAUACAGGUGCUGCAUGGCUGUCGU